rnacentral:rRNA from 1 species
UACGGAGGGGAGCUAGCGUUGUUCGGAAUUACUGGGCGUAAAGCGCACGUAGGCGGAUUUGUAAGUCAGGGGUGAAAUCCCGGGGCUCAACCUCGGAACUGCCUUUGAUACUGCAAAUCUCGAGUCCGGAAGAGGUGAGUGGAAUUCCUAGUGUAGAGGUGAAAUUCGUAGAUAUUAGGAAGAACACCAGUGGCGAAGGCGGCUCACUGGCCCGGUACUGACGCUGAGGCGCGAAAGCGUGGGGAGCAAACAGG